rnacentral:rRNA from 1 species
CCUACGGGAGGCAGCAGUGGGGAAUAUUGCACAAUGGGGGAAACCCUGAUGCAGCGACGCCGCGUGAGUGAAGAAGUAAUUCGUUAUGUAAAGCUCUAUUAGCAGGGAAGAAAAUGACGGUACGUGAGUAAGAAGCCCCGGCCAACUACGUGCCAGCAGCCGCGGCAAUAUGCAGGGGGCAAGCGUUAUACGGAUUUACUGGGUGUAAAGGGAGCGUAGACGGCAGUGCAAGUCUGGAGUGAAAGGCGGGGGCUCAACCCCCGGACUGCUCUGGAAACUGUACGGCUGGAGUGCAGGAGAGGUAAGUGGAAUUCCUGGUGUAGCGGUGAAAUGCGUAGAUAUUAGGAAGAACACCAGUGGCGAAGGCGGCUUACUGGACUGUAACUGACGUUGAGGCUCGAAAGCGUGGGGAGCAAACAGGAUUAGAUACCCUGGUAGUC